rnacentral:lncRNA from 1 species
UGGGCUAAACCAGGUUGAGGGGAACUGAUAGACCUCAAACUUUUCUGUUAUUUAGGGGGAUGUCUACUCCAAGCAUGUGAAGAAUUCACUGAAAGAAUGGGAAGAUUAGAACAAUUUGUUCCAGUGGCCAUGAAGGCAGCUGAAGCAAGAAAUGUGGAAUGCCUAGAGAUUAGUUAGACAUUGAAAAUGCCAAGGUUAUCAAUUGUAUCCCAAACCAUCACCAGUAUCUUGACUUUUACCGUGCCAGAGGACUUCAAUGACUCAAAAAGAGAGUGUGACUGACAACUUUCUGCAAUUUUACCUUACUUAAAUCCAAUUCACAAGCAAGUCAAAACAUCACUCUUUGAUAUCAUUAAUCCUCUUUGAAAAUGAAAGAUGAACAACAACAACUUUACAGUAUGGAGCUUCUCAUCCUUACUUCCCCCUGUAGAUAUAACUCCCUUUAACAGACUGUCCCAUUAGGAGGGAAAUACAAUGGAUAUCCCAUGACUUUCUUUGCUCUUUAUGAAAGUUCACUCUAAUUUUUCUGUUACCUGCUGAUUACAUAUUAGCAAUGAGGCCUCAUGCUAUAGCAACCUACUGACAAUGCUAUCUACAUGAGAUUUUUUCCUGAUACAAAAUGCACCAGAUUUCUCCUCAACAUCAUUACCAAACCGUAUCGAAUUCCCUGGGGAUAUGUCUGCAGAUAUUACAUCGACCUGGAAUGGAAAAUGCAGGAGUAUUCUUAACUCUGAGUUCCCUUAGCAGCUUGUGCUCUUAGUGAGUUUUUUGGUUUUUUUUUCCCCUAUGAUCCAAAUGGUGUGGAUGGUGCUAUGUGACUAUGGAUGAAUCACCUAACUUCCCUUUUUCCCAGGCUAAUCUCUGAAACUAUAAAUUACAGAUGAAUGUCUGACCUGUACCAUUGGUUGGAAUGUCCACUCUAUCAAUUCUGAAUAAAUAAAUAAAAUCACAGGUUGGGAUUUUAAAA